rnacentral:rRNA from 1 species
UGGGGAGUACGACCGCAAGGUUGAAACUCAAAGGAAUUGACGGGGGCCCGCACAAGCGGUGGAGCAUGUGGUUUAAUUCGAAGCAACGCGAAGAACCUUACCAGGUCUUGACAUCCUUUGACCACUCUAGAGAUAGAGCUUUCCCUUCGGGGACAAAGUGACAGGUGGUGCAUGGUUGUCGUCAGCUCGUGUCGUGAGAUGUUGGGUUAAGUCCCGCAACGAGCGCAACCCUUAUUGUUAGUUGCCAUCAUUUAGUUGGGCACUCUAGCGAGACGGCCGGUGACAAACCGGAGGAAGGUGGGGAUGACGUCAAAUCAUCAUGCCCCUUAUGACCUGGGCUACACACGUGCUACAAUGGGAAGUACAACGAGUCGCUAGACCGCGAGGUCAUGCAAAUCUCUUAAAGCUUCUCUCAGUUCGGAUUGCAGGCUGCAACUCGCCUGCAUGAAGCCGGAAUCGCUAGUAAUCGCGGAUCAGCACGCCGCGGUGAAUACGUUCCCGGGCCUUGUACACACCGCCCGUCACACCACGAGAGUUUGUAACACCCGAAGUCGGUGAGGUAACCUUUUUGGAGCCAGCCGCCUAAGGUGGGAUAGAUGAUUGGGGUGAAGUCGUAACAAGGAGCCGUA